UUAAAUAAACCUAAAUAUUAGGAUACCACUGUUAAUGGUAGAUCAUGAAACCCCUUAUUUCAUUAUUUAAA
rnacentral:tRNA from 1 species